UUUAACCUUCAUCCAACAAAGAGACAGCCGAUAUGAAUUUUAUUAAAUUGAUAUUUGGUCUCUUGCUUGUAUGGUGCUACUCUGAAGCAGAUUCAAAGAAAGGAAACCGUUGGAGGGAGGUUCAAUAUGAUCAACAGUCCUUCUGGACUAGAAGGGGAGCAGCAGUACAAGUUUUUGGAGCUAUAGGGUCAUCCCUCUCUCGAAGAAAAACGCAUAGCAAAGACAAAUGAGUUGUGAUGCUCAGCUGACUUUUUUAAUUUGCAAGAUUUAUUCUUCUGUGAUUGUAAAAACAUUCUAAAUUGCUAACAUAGAUUAAAACCAAGAUAAAUUAUUGAACAACAAAA